AGCUCCAAUAGCGUAUAUUAAAGUUGUUGCAGUUAAAAAGCUCGUAGUUGGAUUUCGGGAUGGUUCGGCCGGUCUGCCGCAAGGUGUGUUACUGGCCGCGCUGUCCUUCCUCGCAAAGACUGUGUGUGCUCUUAGCUGAGUGUGCAUAGGAUCUGUGACGUUUACUUUGAGAAAAUUAGAGUGUUCAAAGCAAGCCAGUGUUUGAAUACAUAAGCAUGGAAUAAUGGAAUAGGACUUUGGUUCUAUUUUGUUGGUUUCUGGAACCGAAGUAAUGAUUGAGAGAGACAGUUGGGGGCAUUCGUAUUUCGUUGUCAGAGGUGAAAUUCUUGGAUUUACGAAAGACGAACUACUGCGAAAGCAUUUGCCAAGAAUGUUUUCA
rnacentral:rRNA from 1 species